UACGUAGGUGGCAAGCGUUGUCCGGAAUUACUGGGCGUAAAGGGCGUGUAGGCGGCCUUUUAAGUCAGACGUGAAAUCCCUGGGCUUAACCCAGGAACUGCGUUUGAAACUGAGAGGCUUGAGGAUCGGAGAGGGCAGUGGAAUUCCCAGUGUAGCGGUGAAAUGCGUAGAUAUUGGGAGGAACACCAGUGGCGAAGGCGACUGUCUGGACGACACCUGACGCUGAGGCGCGAAAGCUAGGGGAGCAAACGGG
rnacentral:rRNA from 1 species